CUCCCCUAUUGAUGAAGAGAAUAAUGACUUGACAUUGCAUGUCUAUGUGGGGAAUAGAUCUAGUUCAAGAGCUUUAGAGAGAAGACAUUCUUCCUUUCUUCUUUGAGAGAGGACAUAUGCAUUCCAGACUCCUUUCUGGACUGACUCUGGGGAAGAAGAGAACAAAAAAUUUUGGAACAGAAGUAUCUUCCAAGAAACUGAAAAAUGACUUGGCUUUCCCAAUGGUUCAUCCUUUUCCACUUGUUUUAAUCUAUGAACCAAACCACAGCCUGGCCAGGCGGCAAGAUGAGGAAACUGAACCUCAAAGAAGGGAAAUGAUUCAUCCCUGCCUGGCCACACAUCUUGGAAGGAGCAGACAGAGAAAGACUGAAACCCAAGACAUCUGAACACGCAAUCCAGCAUGACUUCCACCUACACCACAGAAUGUUGAAAUGAAUGGAUCUUAUAAGACACAAUGAAUAUCACUGGAGACAAAUGGGAUAUUUGGCCUGAAAGGGACCAUAGAAAAGAGAAUGUUAGAGUGAAAAGUAAUUUUAGGACAUCAAAUGAUAGGACUUGAAAGGACAAGGAUGAUUUCCAAUCACUACAAAAUCCCAAUUGAGAAAGCCACAGAUUGGAGAGGAGAAGAAUGAGAAGGGAGUGAGCCUAUUUUGCCCAACUGCGCUGGAGCUUGGGGAAUGGGUCCUGUGUUGGCACCCCCAGAGAAAUGUGGAAGAAAUGAAUUGGGUUGUGCCAGUUGACUCUGGGCUCAGGUUGGGCUUGGGCCACUGCUGGAGAAGGACAGGCCUUUGAGGAAUUACAGAAUUCCACAGAUAAAAGGCACCCUAGAAAUCACCUACAACUUUCCACAUCUUGGGGGUUAGGGGUCCAGUGUCCCUGCAAUUUGGAAAAUCUGUAUAAAAUUUGUUGGCCCUUCAUACUAGAGAAGAAGUCUGAAAAUUUUCUUAUUUUAUGGGAUGUUUACCAUAAAAGAAAUUGGGUAUGUUUAUGGGAUCAAAAGAAAAAAUAUAUUAAUAUUACAUACUGUAUAUAUAAUCUAUUCUAGGCAUUUCCAAGUUUCUGAACUUUUUCUGUGCUAUCUGCUGGUCUUUGGGUGUGGUCUGUGGCUUCUGCAAAACUGUCCCCAAAUUCCCAUUUAAUUUCUCAUACUGAUCCCUGAUAUAUCAGAACCACUGGGGGAAAGUCACUAUGUGGAAGGGAUACAUGUAGUCCAACUCUUUCAUCUUAUAGAUGAGGUCAUUGAAGAUGUGAACGGGGAAGUGACUUUUCCAAAGUCACAUAACUAAGUGACAUAGCCAGGACUUCAUAACUUGGUCUUCUGACUAGGAUGUUAGGAAAUAAGGGGCACUCAAAUUCAUUUAGUAAAUUUGGACUUCUGUAUAUAAUUUUUUAAAGUAGGGGUUCACUAUUAUUCUAAGCAUUUUGGCAAAUUAAGAGCAAUUAUGUUAAUUAAUAAUACAAUUAAUAACUAAUAAAUUAAUAGCAAAUUCUAUUACUUUAUUUGCU
rnacentral:lncRNA from 1 species